rnacentral:lncRNA from 1 species
UUGGUAUAUUAUUUUCUAAAAAAUUCUGCGUCUUCCAAGCGGACUUGAUCUGCUGGUACAAACUGGACUGCACCGUCUGAGCUACCUUGCCCAAGCAGGAGAGAGCGGCUGCCAUCUGGAGUAACACACGUUUUGCAUUUAAUGGGAAUGAAUAGUGCAAGCCAACCAGAGGGGUCUGUUUAGGAACAGCGUCAAACUCAGGCAGGAGCUUCUAGGACUUUCACAAGUCUCUUGUCUCAUUCUUUUCCCAGUAAAUCUGGGACCUUGGACCUCAGUAGCUGCUGAUCUCUCCACUCCUACAGAGAGGAGGGGAGACUCAACGGUCAAGGCAACUGGUGG